rnacentral:tRNA from 4 species
AGUAUUGUGCCAGAGUUUUAAUGGGCUUUGUUGAUGUCAAAGAAUACGAGAAAUUUUCUCCAAUACUU